CUGCCCUGCCCGCACAGGCUUCACAGGCGUGAGGCCAGAGGGAGAAGAAGGGGCGCAGGGGUGUCUUGGGGGAUCCUCGCCGUGAGAUCCGGGCAGGCCUGGCUCACGCAGACCUUCUCCAGCGGCUGGUGGAGUCCAAGAGGCGACACGGUCUCCCAGGAAUUCCUUCCAGACAGGUGCUGCCCCACUGAGCCCCCAGUUGGAGAGGCCUCUGGGGUGGUGGGAGCCCUCGGAAGGACACACUGUAUAGGGGCCCUGCACCCCAAGCUACAGGGGCUCCUUCACAGCUUGUGCUGCCCUGGGACGCCUCAGUCACUGAACAAGGGGCCUCCUGGCUGGUGGAAGAACUCCACAGGCCCACGGAAUCCUGGUAGGACCUGGCAGGAGAGCCCUCGGACGCAGGCAGCGCCUGGUAGGGCCUGCCUCAACUGUUCCCUCUCCAGCCUGGCUCCAUCCUGAGUGCCAGGGACUGAUGGUCCACGGGCCUACGUACUCCAGCCUCAAAGGAAUCAGAGGAGGCUCC